rnacentral:rRNA from 1 species
UACGGAGGGGGCAAGCGUUAUUCGGAAUUAUUGGGCGUAAAGGGCGCGUAGGCGGUUAAACAAGUCAAAGGUGAAAUCCCUCGGCUCAACUGAGGAACUGCCUUUGAAACUGUUUGACUUGAGGCCGGGAGGGGGUAGCGGAAUUCCCAGUGUAGCGGUGAAAUGCGUAGAUAUUGGGAGGAACACCAGUGGCGAAGGGCGGCUACCUGGACCGGUUCUGACGCUGAUGCGCGAAAGCGUGGGUAGCAAACAGG